ACUAAGACUUGAGGAAAUCCAUAAAUCUUUCCCCAAUCACGACAGCAAUUUAAGGAAUUUUCAGAACAGAAGCAGCCUUUGCCAAAGGGUCCCCUCGAUGUAUCCUGAGUUAGGAGCACCUGAGAUUGCCUGGCUGCAAUGCUGGGGUCAGUGCCAGGUCGGGGUGCAAGGGGGAGCAAUUAACCCCUUUCUAUCUUGCCUACCAUCAACGUUUCUGCGGGCUUGCAGUGCUAAAAAAAACCACUCAGGGCCCAGAGGUUUAGUUACAAAUGAGGAAAAGGACUGGUAUUAAUAGUGAAAGUAGCGAAGGAUCUGUUCUCACGACUUCUCAACAGGAACCUCCCACCCCAACUCUGGAAAAAGAGGGUUUUAUCCUACCUAGUUGGGGUGACAUAGGGGAAGGUCCGCAAGGGACCCCGCCAGCUCCUCCAGCCCCGCCCCCUUACCUGGGCUCCUCUUACCCCCCUGGGCAACGCCUCAGGUGUAAACUACUUUUUUCUUUCUUAUCACAAGAAUUCUACAAGGUAACUACUGUCUUGGGGAGGGGAAGCCGCGUUGUCUCCGAAAGCACAGACGGAAGCAACAAAUGGGGAAAAAAAAAAAAAAAACAGGCCAGGCUUGUGAAAUCCCAAACCAGACCGCGUUUCAACCACUCUUCGUAAGGUGGGCAACCCCCACCCGGUCACAUUUAAAUGUGUUUGUGUGCCAGACCGGCCUGCUGUUACACCCUUUCAGCUCUGCAACCCGCACCGCAGACACAAUGAAUUAGGAGAUUAAAGUUACCGAAAAACCA